AGCUUUGCGCAGUGGCAGUAUCGUAGCCAAUGAGGUUUAUCCGAGGCGCGAUUAUUGCUAAAAAAGAAAAAAAAAAAAAUUAAACAUACACCUGCCAUAUGAUCAUUCAUUCCACUCCUAGGUA
rnacentral:snRNA from 1 species